rnacentral:lncRNA from 1 species
CGAAAUCAUAUUUUCUGACACCAUUGGAAUUCAAGUCAUUACAAUGGAUAUGACAUCAUUCACUCUUGCCUCACUCUAUUGCCAUCCUCAUCAGUCAUACCAUGUGCAUAUACUUUGUGUGAGUUUGUUCCGGUUCUUCGUCCAUUGUGUUUUAUACUGAUUUAAUUUUAUGUUGUAAUUUAUCUAACAUAUAUUUUUAUUUGUAUUAUGCUUAUAAAUACUAAAUUUCUUUUUUGAAAAUUCCAACUUAUGCCAUAAAUGCUUGGAGACAAAACUAGUUACAUCUUUACCACAUGUAUGCUGCUCAACUAAAGGCCAGAAAACGGUGCAUAGGGAAUCAUAAAAACAGCCUAAAAAUUUUAAAACAAAACAAGUCCUAACAAACAAAAACAGUAACUACAGCAAAGCAAGUAAAAAACGGAAAAUGAAACGUCCCCAGAUCUGAAAAUCCCUUCAUCUCCAAAAGCCUUCCAACCCUCCCCUGUGCAUCAGUAGACAUAGAGGCCACCAGAUCCUUACAUCAUAUUAGGCUCAUCACACUAGUAAUCAGCCUCUUCAUCAAGUUGUAAUAGCCAAUUUUGGCCCAAAAAAACUCAAUUCAAUAAAGCAAAAUAAAACCCAAACAUAAAUAACAAAUGGCCCAAUACCAAACCCAAGUUACCUAACCCAACAACCCAAAUGAAACCCUAGCCCAUUACAAAGAAAAGAAAACAGCAACAGCCAGCCCCCAAGCAUGCUACUGCCAAACUUUUCACCUCCCAUCGGCCACCACGCCUCUGUCAUGGCCGCUUCACACGCCUCUGAGGGCCGUCUGACACCUGCAACAAAUUAAAUGCAACACAAGCAGCAGAAGAAACCAAACAAAAAAUGACAAAAAAAAAGAUGAAAUGAAUAGCCAUCUUAAUCGGCUAUAAGAGCCCGAUUCUUCUCAUUGGUAUUUUUUUUACGAAUAUUAAUGAAUAAAAAAGCAAAAAACAGAAGAAAAAAAAAGGUUAAUCUUGACUUCCAUUUCUCUUGUUCUUUACGAUUUUCCUUUUUAUUUUCGUGAUUUUUAUUAUUAUUUAUAAAUUGGUUUUAAAAUAAAAGAACAAAAAGGAGAAGCUUACCUGAAAUUCCCCACGGUCGUGACAUCGGAGAGCCCUUCUCCGUCACCGAGGUCGGGCUCAAAAAGGGGGCUGAGAGUCUCAUCUUUUCCGCAUCUUCGGGUGUUGGUAGUAUCGGCCUUCAGAGGCGCUCCAAAACGGAGCUAAGCGAGCCCAUUUCCUGCAGCGCCAGCCAUUGGCCAUGGCGGCGGUAGGGUGAGCCUCCGGGGAACUCGAUCGUUGGAGAGGAAAAGGGGGGAAGAAGGAGUUUUGUGUUCUUCUUUUUCUUGGAAACUAAAAGAGGAACCAGCAGAAUAAAAAGGAAGGAAUUUUUUUUUGUUUUAAAUCAUUUGAAACGGCGCCGUUUGUUGGGGUGGGGGGGUUUGUGCAUUCUCCCUAAAGGGGAGAUUUGUGCGAUUGGUCCUCCUUCGCAACCCCAUUCAUUCAGGCCCCAUUUUGUCUUCUUUUGUUUUUUAAAUUUAGCCCUCAAUCUUGUUUGGUCUU